rnacentral:rRNA from 1 species
GACGAACGCUGGCGGCGUGCUUAACACAUGCAAGUCGAGCGGUAAGGCUCCUUCGGGAGUACACGAGCGGCGAACGGGUGAGUAACACGUGAGCAAUCUGCCCUUCACAUCGGGAUAACCCUCGGAAACGAGAGCUAAUACCGAAUACGACCACUUCCGGCAUCGGAUGGUGGUGGAAAGUUCCGGCGGUGAAGGAUGAGCUCGCGGCCUAUCAGCUUGUUGGUGGGGUAACGGCCCACCAAGGCUUCGACGGGUAGCCGGCCUGAGAGGGUGACCGGCCACACUGGGACUGAGACACGGCCCAGACUCCUACGGGAGGCAGCAGUGGGGAAUAUUGGACAAUGGGCGAAAGCCUGAUCCAGCAACGCCGCGUGAGGGAUGACGGCCUUCGGGUUGUAAACCUCUUUCAGCAGGGACGAAGCGCAAGUGACGGUACCUGCAGAAGAAGCACCGGCCAACUACGUGCCAGCAGCCGCAGUAAAAC